rnacentral:misc_RNA from 1 species
GGUAGUAAAAGUCGUAACAAGGUCCCCGUUAGUGAACCAGCGGAGGGGUCAUUACAGGACUCGCAAGACUCAUACCACCCUGUGAACUUCACAACAAGCACGCUGCUUCAGCGGAUGUCUCGGCGGGGGUCCUAAUUCCACCGGCAGCCCACUAUACUCUGUCUCGUUGCGUUGGCAUCUCGAAGAAAAGCAAACAAGUUAAAACUUUCAACAACGGAUCUCGCGGCUCUG